GUAAAAAAAAUUUGUAUGGAAUGGGAUCGUUUGCGUACGUUUGGCGCUAGGGGCGCUGUUCCAACUGCAUACAAAAUUAACUUU
rnacentral:pre_miRNA from 1 species